rnacentral:lncRNA from 1 species
ACACGGAGUGUGGGACUCAUCCCCACAUUCCAGGAUCAUGCCCUGAGCUGAAGGCAGACGCGCUUAACCUCUGAGCCACCCAGGCGUCCCUAAACAACAAAUUUUUUUAUUGUUGCAUUCAAAGAAAAUUUUUUUUAUUUUUUAUUUAUUUAUGAUAGUCACACACAGAGAGAGAGAAGCAGAGACAUAGGCAGAGGGAGAAGCAGGCUCCAUGCACCGGGAGCCCGACGUGGGAUUCGAUCCCAGGUCUCCAGGAUCACGCCCCGGGCCAAAGGCAGGCGCCAAACCGCUGCGCCACCCAGGGAUCCCCAAAGAAAUUUAUGGGCAAAUGCAAGAAGUUGAGUCUACAGCUGGACAAGAGCAGUAACCCUUAUUAUUGGGAUGGUUGCUACCAGAUGGAUGGUACAAGUUUGAUUUCUGCCUACGUGGAUCUACUAACUAGGCUCUUCUCAUCUGGGACUUGGAUGUGACUAAGUAAAGAUCCUGAGAUGGAGACGUUUUCCUGGAUUAUUCAGGCGGACUCCAAAUGCAGUUACAAGUGUCCUUAUAAGAGAGAGGUAGCAGAAAAUCACAGACAGAAGAGGCGAAGACAACACGACCAUGGAAGUGAAGAUUGGCGUGAAGUGGUCACAAGCCAAGGAAUGCUGACAACCACCAGAAGCUGGAAGAGGAAAAUAAUGGGUUCUCUCUAGAGCCUAAGGGGGACUACAUGUCUGCCAACAUCUUGAUUUCAACCCAGUGAUACUGAUUUUGGACAUCUGGCUGCUAGAACUCUGACAGAAUAGAUUUCUGUUGUGAGAGAGAGAGAGAGAGGAGGGCCAGAGGGAGAGGUAGAAAAUCCCAAGAAGACUACCUGCUGAUCAUGGAGCCUGAUGUGGGGCUGGAUCUCACAACCUUGAGAUUGUGACCCAAAAUCAAAAGUCAGAGGCUUAACCAACUAUACCACCCAGCUGGUUGGUUGGCCAGAGUUUCUCAUCAAGGAGUACAUGCUGUUUGCUCCCCAGAUGGACAGCCUGGAUGAGCUACAAAUCCACAGAGCCUGGGACACAAGGUGAAAAACCAGUAUGCUGGCAUGGAGAUAUGACCUUCAUAUAGAGUCAAACAUAAGAAAGUAGAUGUCGGUACAUUAGGUAUGGUAUGUAUCACUUUGUGUUAAAAAACACACUAAUGUUUAUAUUAUGUCAUUAAGGGUAUUUAUCCUAGUGGUAAUUGAAGUUAUUUUGGAGUAAAGAGGGUGUAUAUAAUGUACAUAACUUGGAAAUUUUUACAAUGGACAUGAAUUAUUUUAAUAAAUCUGCAAAGAAGUCAAUGAAGAUAAUUCUGUUGUGGAGGAAAACAAAAAAGACUCAUGUCUCUGUGGCUCUUAUUGUAUUAUGGGGUGGAGGAUCCAUGCCACUAACAAGGCACCCUGUGGUUAAGCAUGAAAUGCCUUUUGAUUUUGAUACUAUAGCCUUUCAUCAAAAUUUUCUCAUUGCAGACCUUACAGGGAAUUAUCUUCCUUAGCUCGAGAAAAUGUAAGACUUGUCUGUCAGGGAGCACUUUGAUCCCAAAGGUUAGAAGCUAGUAGGGUAGGAUUGAAUUAACCGCAGUAACAACAAAAAGACAAUUCCCCUCCAUAUGGGAUGGUUGAUGCCUGUUGUCUGGGCUUCUGUGUCUGCAGUUGUCCCAUCCCGUGGCUUAUUUAUUUCCCUAGUUAUGUUACCAUUUCGUGCUUGUUGUCCUCUGCCUACUUCAAUAUCUGGGGAUGCAGCAUUAAUAUUUGAGCAAGGGUGGUGUAUCCCAUAGCAUAUCCAGAAUGGAGGAGACAAACAAUAAAUAACAGUGAUCAGCCUGUGCUACCAGACCUUCCUUGGAGAGCUUUACUGUGCACACCAAGAAAUGGAUUCAUGAAAGUUAGUUUGGUGGAGUGGAAAGUAAAACACAGAAGAGAAAUAGAGUGGUGCACACAGCUGUCACAGUCAUGUCAGAAAUCCAGACGAGAAAGGUUAGCAUCAGUAGCUCACAAAGACCUUCCAGGGAAGAGCAAGGCUGCUAUUGCUAUAGUGUGUCAAGCACCUGACACAGGAGUGAAGCUUGACAAGUCAUUUUGAUGCUGAGCUGGAAAACUCCUUGAAAAUAAACACAUUGUUCAAAAAGGCCAAAAAUCCAAAUCAAUACAAAGAAGAGAGCUAAGAGAAUGAGUGAAAACAAGUUAAUGAGGGAUAAUGGCUUGCCCUUGCCUCCACUUCUGAUCAUCACCCCAGCAAGUGCAGAUGUUUGGUGUUGACAGACUGAGUUGUGCAGUGGGAAAGUACAGCCUGAAGAUUCAGGCAGACCUGAGGUAAGACCCAGUUCACCUACUUGCCACUUAAAUUUAGCAUUUAGCAAGCGACUUCUUCUCACUAGGAGAUUCUUGGCUGGUUCUGGUUGCACUGAAUCUGGGCUUGAGUUUAUUUUUCUGUAACCUAGGGAUAAUAGUAUUCUCUCUAUUAUGUUGUGUUAAAGAUGAUGUGAAAUAGUGCUUAGAAAGUGCUCAUCUGCAGAAAGUGCUCAAUAAGUGCUAGUUGCUAGUUGCCUGGGGCCUAUCCUUUGUCCUCAAGCUCUGGGGAGUGAAAUGCUCUUAUGCCUUGCCCUGACUUCCCUCUUCUUCCUGUUUUUUUCCUCUUCCUCUUUCUCCUUUUCCAGUUCUGUAAGGAUGGCAAAGUCCUGAGCUGGCAGAUAAAUUGGGCUCCAGCUCAGGGGAAGCAGAGAGAAUGCUUGAUGUACUUGUCCUGCCGCUGAGGGAGCAAGCUGCGUUUGUGCUCCUGGUUUCCAUUACUGAGCUGGCCAUAUUUUAUCUUCCCUUAAGUGGCAGCCAGAUCCCUCCAGGUCAGGUCAACACAGACUCUGAAUACAGGAGAGAGAAGCAGGUACUAAAACUGGUCAGAGGUAUUUAUUUCUCCUUCAACUGUGCUCUCUAAAAGCGACACUAACAUCUUCAAACCUGAAGUUGGGAGUUGCAGUUCUUUUGCAAUGUCCUGUGAAUCUCUGGCCUGUUUCCACUCAGGUGAGCCUAUGUAAUACUGCCAGAGGUGUUCUUUUGUACAGCUUUCAUCGUGAUGCCUACCUUCUCAAAGCCAUUGCUAACUCCCCAGUGUCUGUGAAAUAAAUCCCAAACUUCUUACGUCAGCACCCAGCUCAAAUGCUUGCCCUUCCACAAAGCUUUGUUUGGAGCUAGGUGGAGGUAAUCUUGCCCUUCUCCAAACUCCUCUGGCUUUCUCUGAGCAGAGCACAGAUGUUUGAUUCUUAGAAUUCUCCCCCCGCCCCCUGCUGUACAGGCUUUUAGAAUCUUAGUCUUCCUCUUCAAAGAACAUAGGCCUUUUGAAAGUAAGAUUUAUGCCCACCCCCUGUCUGUUUUCUCCACAGUGUGUAACAAUUAUUAGAUGAAUUAUUAGAUGAAUGAAUUUGAAGGCAGUAGUUGAGCUGUAGUAUGUAUAUUUAAUUGCUGGUGAUGUACUAUUUGAUAUGCCCUGGGAUGGCAAAUUCUUGCCAUGCAUGCCCUCAUGGUUUUUCUGGUGCAUAUGACUAAAUUCUUUUCAUGUGCCAACCCUAAUGUGCAAGUGGCUGUCUUGGAGAAGUAGAUUGUGAAGGCUUCUAAGGUUAUGUCUUAUGCCAGUAGGAUAGAGUACUGUGAUUUUUAAUGUUUCCCACUACCACUGUAUUAGAAUUGAUUGAAAGAUGGAAGCUGUAUGUCAUAUCACAUCUAAUGUUUCCAUAUUAGUAGAAAGUUGUAAUAAAUGAUAUGGAUGCACUUGCAAUUAAAACUGACUCUCCUAAAAUUGCAAUCACAUCAAUAUAUGGAGAAGUUGUGGAAAUAACACAGAUUGGAGUCACUAGUCCUAACUUUCACUUUGGCCUCUUCCACUUGGGAGCUAGCAGCAAAUUGCUUAAUCUCCAUCUCCACAUGUAUGUUACUAACACUCGUUUUGCCUACCUCACAGCCAGAGAAGAGGGUGGUUUUCCUGGUCCUGAGGACAAAAUGAAUUAUUUAAUAAUAGACACAUUAUGAUGAGAAUUCAUAAAUAACAUAUUAUUUCUUACUUCAAAAGACUCACAUGUUCUUUAAAUUAAAGACAAAAAUACAGAGAAAAAAAA